rnacentral:rRNA from 1 species
CCUACGGGGGGCAGCAGUGAGGAAUAUUGGUCAAUGGACGAGAGUCUGAACCAGCCAAGUAGCGUGAAGGAUGACUGCCCUAUGGGUUGUAAACUUCUUUUAUAUGGGAAUAAAACGUUCCACGUGUGGGAUUUUGUAUGUACCAUAUGAAUAAGGAUCGGCUAACUCCGUGCCAGCAGCCGCGGUAAUACGGAGGAUCCGAGCGUUAUCCGGAUUUAUUGGGUUUAAAGGGAGCGUAGGCGGAUUGUUAAGUCAGUUGUGAAAGUUUGGGGCUCAACCGUAAAAUUGCAGUUGAAACUGGCAGUCUUGAGUACAGUAGAGGUGGGCGGAAUUCGUGGUGUAGCGGUGAAAUGCUUAGAUAUCACGAAGAACUCCGAUUGCGAAGGCAGUUCACUGGACUGCAACUGACACUGAGGCUCGAAAGUGUGGGUAUCAAACAGGAUUAGAUACCCCAGUAGUC